AACUCUACGCUGCCGUUAGUCACUGAUGGAGGUAUCUUUGCUGCCUCUAUUUUGCUUUAGGGUUGAAAUUGCUAUUAAUUCCUAUCCAAUCUGAAUCUUUUAUUUUGCUGCAACCAUGCCCAAUGCGGUGAAGAUUAACAUUACCGCUACCGCUGUUUCGGUUGCUGCCAUUGCCGUUCUAAUUGCGUGAGUCGAAUCUGUUGCCAUGAAUUAAAAGGAGAGGGAAUUAUCACGAUAAAUUUGUGCGAACUCAGUUAAUCGAGGUAGGGGUUUUUUUUAAAAUCUAAUUUAUAUUACAGAGUUGUGAUAAAUAGAUACUAAAGUGAGAGAACAUAUGCCUGUGAUUAUAAUUGUCUUAUAAAUGUGGUUGUUUGCUGGACUGAAUGAUUGAUUACUUGAUUGCUUGAGUAGUUUGUGAUUGCUGAAAAGAAAUUAGUUUGAAAGGUUAUUUAGUUGAUUAUUAUGA